rnacentral:rRNA from 1 species
GAUGGUUCCGCUGCUAGUCAUCCCCUCGACUCUCCAAAAAGGGGGUGUGCCCGUGACUCUGUGCCCGGGCUGAGGAUGCCCUCCGUCGUCAUCCCUUAUAACCCGUUACCUACCUUCAGACUGGGUCGGUAGGGCGCACGGCCUUCUGCCGGGAGUCCCAACAUUUGCCGAAAACUGCCACUUCUUAUCCGCCCUACGCAGGACAAAACUGCCAUCGGCAACUUAUUCGUGGCCGAUUGAGGCACGGUCGUCGGCGCCAUUAUGCCUCCCACGCUCGCAACAGGCCUAAAUAACCCAAAUUUCCCACGCAUCCGACCCUCCAUUCAGUCGCCACUUUUCGUGUGCGAAUUGCCCACAGAACGGCGUCUAUGAUGAAAAGAACCUACUCCUCCUCCAGUGACCUUGCCUACCACAUCGCCACUUUACGCAUCUAUAGUAGGUCUUGUGGCUAACGCUUCCGUCCACUGACAUGGAAUUAGCUGCGACUCCGUGCUUUCGCACCCCUCGCUUGUCCUAAUCUAUGGGACCAUCAGGUGCGGCAUUUGCUACUCCUGAUCGACAACCCGGAUAUCCCAAGUCACCGUUUCCCUUUGGCAAUUAGGAGGUG